rnacentral:rRNA from 1 species
GAUGAACGCUGACAGAAUGCUUAACACAUGCAAGUCUACUUGAACUUCGGUUUGGGUGGCGGACGGGUGAGUAACGCGUAAAGAACUUACCUCACAGUUAGGGACAACAUUUGGAAACGAAUGCUAAUACCUGAUAUUAUGAUUUUAGGGCAUCCUAAGAUUAUGAAAGCUAUAUGCGCUGUGAGAGAGCUUUGCGUCCCAUUAGCUAGUUGGAGAGGUAACGGCUCACCAAGGCGAUGAUGGGUAGCCGGCCUGAGAGGGUGAACGGCCACAAGGGGACUGAGACACGGCCCUUACUCCUACGGGAGGCAGCAGUGGGGAAUAUUGGACAAGGGACCAAAAGUCUGAUCCAGCAAUUCUGUGUGCACGAUGACGUUUUUCGGAAUGUAAAGUGCUUUCAGUUGGGAAGAAAAAAAUGACGGUACCAACAGAAGAAGUGACGGCUAAAUACGUG